rnacentral:misc_RNA from 1 species
AAGUCGUAACAAGGUUUCCGUAGGUGAACCUGCGGAAGGAUCAUUAAUGAAAUGCAAGAGUGCUCUUUUUAGAGGCUCGACCCAAUUCAUUUUCUCACCCUGUGCACAAACUAUUUUUACACCCAAUUUUUUAACACUUGUAGUAAUAAGAAUGUCAAUAGUCUCUUAAUUGAGCAUAAAAUUUAAUAAAACUUUCGGCAACGGAUCUCUUGGCUCCC